rnacentral:rRNA from 1 species
AGAACGAACGCUGGCGGCAUGCCUAACACAUGCAAGUCGAACGCGUGUAGCGAUACACGAGUGGCGGACGGGUGAGUAACGCGUGGGAACCUGCCCUGGAGUGGGGGAUAACCGAUGGAAACGUCGGCUAAUACCGCAUACGACCUGAGGGUGAAAGAUUUAUCGCUCUAGGAGGGGCCCGCGUCGGAUUAGCUAGUUGGUGAGGUAAUGGCUCACCAAGGCUAUGAUCCGUAGCUGGUCUGAGAGGAUGAUCAGCCACACUGGGACUGAGACACGGCCCCAGACUCCUACGGGAGGCAGCAGUGGGGAAUAUUGGACAAUGGGGGCAACCCUGAUCCAGCAAUGCCGCGUGAGUGAUGAAGGCCUUAGGGUUGUAAAGCUCUUUCGCCCACGACGAUGAUGACGGUAGUGGGAGAAGAAGCCCCGGCUAACUUCGUGCCAGCAGCCGC